rnacentral:rRNA from 1 species
CACGUAGGGGACAAGCGUUGUCCGGAAUUAUUGGGCGUAAAGAGCUCGUAGGCGGUCUGUCGCGUCGAUCGUGAAAACUUGGGGCUUAACCCUGAGCUUGCGGUCGAUACGGGCAUGACUGGAGUUCGGCAGGGGAGACUGGAAUUCCUGGUGUAGCGGUGAAAUGCGCAGAUAUCAGGAGGAACACCGGUGGCGAAGGCGGGUCUCUGGGCCGAUACUGACGCUGAGGCGCGAAAGCCAGGGGAGCGAACGGG